AUUGAACGCUGGCGGCAGGCCUAACACAUGCAAGUCGAGCGGAUGAAGGGAGCUUGCUCCCGGAUUCAGCGGCGGACGGGUGAGUAAUGCCUAGGAAUCUGCCUGGUAGUGGGGGACAACGUUUCGAAAGGAACGCUAAUACCGCAUACGUCCUACGGGAGAAAGCAGGGGACCUUCGGGCCUUGCGCUAUCAGAUGAGCCUAGGUCGGAUUAGCUAGUUGGUGAGGUAAUGGCUCACCAAGGCGACGAUCCGUAACUGGUCUGAGAGGAUGAUCAGUCACACUGGAACUGAGACACGGUCCAGACUCCUACGGGAGGCAGCAGUGGGGAAUAUUGGACAAUGGGCGAAAGCCUGAUCCAGCCAUGCCGCGUGUGUGAAGAAGGUCUUCGGAUUGUAAAGCACUUUAAGUUGGGAGGAAGGGCAGUAAGUUAAUACCUUGCUGCUUUGACGUUACCGACAGAAUAAGCACCGGCUAACUUCGUG
rnacentral:rRNA from 1 species